GCGGGGGAUGUGUUUGGCAUGGGGACGCACUGUUACAGUUGCGCUCCUGGUUGGCUUUGUGUUUCCGCGGUGUUGGUAGAGUCUCGGUGUUUCUACCUCUUAGCACCCUUUCCUGCCACCCUUUGUCCUGUGGAAGCCCGGAGACAUCAGCGGCUGCAAUUUUGCUACUCGCUGCUCGGCAUGGAACGGUCAGGUACCGCAGUUCAGCGCUCUUGGCCCCGCAGGUCCUCGGGCAUCCCCGUGCCCCGUGCUGUACAUUCAGUUAUCCUCCGACUUCCCGGGGUCGAAGGACAAAAAAUAAUAUCCAAAGAUAUUUUGGCACUAACAGCGCUAUCUGUAGCAAGAAAGUUGAGCAGUGUGAACUGUUGAGACUUCCAAGAAGACUUCAGAGAACCAAGACAGUGUAAAGGAAAACAGGAAAAAAGACUUGUUAGACAUUAUUAAGGGCACGAAAGUUGAAUUGAGCACAGUAAAUGUACAAACAACAAAGCCACCCAACAGAAGUCCACUUAAAAGCUACAACUGGCCCGCCUCAAAGAGCUACAGAGCAUGCUCCAAAGAAGAGAAAUGAGCCCGUGAGUCCUGAGUUGGUGGCAGCUGCAUCUGCUGCUCUGUUUUGACAAGCAAACAAGCCAGAACUGCUCAGGCAGCUCCGUAGCAUGAGGAAGAGUCAGGGGCACAGAGAGAUGGAGAGAGACCUAGUUAGAGAGCGAACCAUGUGCUGGAUUUAGCCAGUCCUGCAUUUUUCUAUACUUCAAAUCAAAACGGGCCAUGCUUCACAUCUACCCAUGAUGAAUAGGGGUACUUUGAUUAAGAAUAAAUAGAGCUGACUGAAUUC
rnacentral:lncRNA from 1 species